CAGGCUCUUGGAAGCUUCACUCCCUCGCCCAUCCCAGGCGCUGCCUCUGGGAUGAAAUCAGGACCUGCUUGUCUCUGCCUGGCAGCAGGGCAGGGCUUGUGAAGGUGCUUGGGUUGCCGCAAGAGGGAAAAGGAGGGUGCCAGUAAGAUCUUGUUCCUUUUAUGAAUUUGCUGGAGUUUCCGUGUAAUUCUCUCCAUACGGCAAACUGAUGCAGUAACCCACAGUGUUACUCUGUGUGUCCUGAUGUUAGAUGUUUGGAUACUGGAGUAAUGCUACUCAUUAGUGGGAAUAACAUUGCAAAUAAGAUUUACAUCAGUGCUUUCAUGGGCUUUAAAUUGAGAUUUUACAAAAGCCCAUUUCUAUUCACAGUUGUCCUUUUUGUCCUUUUGCCAAAGUCCAGAGGCAAAAUACCCCAAAGCACCCAAGGACCUCUGAGGCUCGAUUUUAAAAGUACCGUAGGCACUUCAGCCACCAGUGCUCAGUAAUUUUCAGUGAGACAACAGGUACCCAGUGCCGAUGGGCCGGAGUUACAAAGGCACUGGAGUGCCUACAGUUGCACAGGGGGCCAGCAAGGACAGCGGAAUAAUUUCGGCAUAGAAACUGCAUUGCCUUUUCGAGGGACUGGUGGCUGCUGGAGUGAGUAGGUGCUCGGCAGCUACAUAGCUGGCAGCUCCUGCCAGGCUUGCGAGGCCCUUCUGUGCAUCGUUUGUGAAUCUGCCCUGGAGGCCCUCAUGCUGAAUUGUUCCCAGUGCUGCAUUCAUUUAGUGUUUGUUUUGUCAGCUGUGCAGGCUUCUGAGACCUUGCGUGAAAGGUUGUGUACUGCAGGUUAUUCUUUUAGUAGUUUUUCUUCAGCUCAAAGUAUCUGCAUGUGUCUUCAGUGUUAAUUACAAACAGCAGCAGCCCGUUACGAUGCUAACAGUAAAGACCGAAGAACAGUUGGCACAAAACAGCAUUUGUUUUGCAGUAGUUAGUCAGUGUUAGCGUAAUAGGCUGGGAUCCUUCAGACCCCCCUGUGAGCAGGGACAGCUGCUUCCUUUUUCCUCUCUGACCUCGCAAGCCCUCUGCUGUAGAAUAUUUGUUGAGGCUAUGAUGACUCAGCCACUGGUGCAAUAAACAGAGGAACAGGAACGCUGUCCUUCUCUGCUUGGAACUGGUUCUCCUGUGGCUUUUGUGGUGGAAGUGACUCGAGCAGGCACCACAAAUGCAGCUGUGAUUUUGGUUGUUCCUGACUGAUCAAGCUUCCUGAUGCAUCAAAAGCUCUCAUCAAGCCAUUUCUGAAGGGUGGUCAAACACUCAAACUGAAGCACCUGGAGAGGCUGUGGAGUCUCCAUCGUUCAAGAGAUUUCAAACCUGCCUGGACAUGGCCCCGAGCAGCCUGCUCUGGCUGAUCCUGCCUGAUGCAGAGGGGCUGGACUGGGUGACCCCAGAGCUGCCUGCCAGCCAAAUCUGCUCCACAGCCUUAUUCUCCUGAACAACAAUAUCCUCUCUCAAGGGCUCCAAAGGAAAAUAUUAGUGCUUAAAUAAUAACUUAGUUAUUUUCUAAAGAUAAUUGGGUCUUGUCGAUGCGGAAACAAGAGCUGCCCAUUUCCCAUUACCAGCAGGAUCUUUCAGAGCAGGAUCCCAGCAGCUCUGGUGCACAAGACCUGUGCAUGGAAGGUGACCCAGUGCUCGUCGGUCUCAAAUUGCAAUGUACGUUUACAUAUCUCUGUUGUGAGGAAUCGGGCUUGUUUUGCAGGGAAAAAAGACCAAAGCACUAAAUUGUUUCAUUAAACUCUAUAGACAUCCUAAUUAAACAGGUCAGCUCAUUUCAGACUUAAAUUUAUAACAACACACCUUUGCAUUGGAGGUCACCCACAAAAUGUGAUGACACAGUACAUGAACCUUAGAAUCAGAACCACUGCAAAGACAGGAACCCCUCCUUAGCAGUUUGUGAAGUUAACAGCAGUAGUAUUUUUAACAUCUCUGUUUAUGGUUUCCUUCAUUCCCAGAAGGCAAUGUUCAAGUCCUAGAUCAGAGAAGAGAAUUUAAUAGUCGCUUGCGUGGUGCUAAAUCUUUUCGGGUUUGAACUCCCUAGACAAGGAGGCUGCAAACAAAUCACUGUGGUGGAGCCAGUCCCCAGCUAACCGGGCUGCCUGUUGUGCUACUCAGACCUGUUGAUCCUUCACUGCCUGCACCUGGGAAUUACCUCGAAUGUGCAGCAGCAAGAAAAUGUGUUUAUGCUAACCAGAGUGAUCUUGUCUGAAACUGUGUGCAUCCCAGCCCUCUCCACUUGUGCCAUGUGAAAGGAUGCUUUGGAGGCUGAGCCCAGUCUGUGUCUGCCUGUGCCCCUUCCCUCAGCGAGGCAGCGCAUGCUGGGGAGAGGGGCACAGCCAUGGGCAGGAGGACUUUCUGCCUCACCCAGGUGGUCUCUGUGUGGGGUUUGAGUGUCUGGCAUACAUUGUGAGAGGAAAUAUGAGACAGGAGAAAUUUUGCUUGUAAAUAACUUCAGAGGGACGUUCACUUUUCUUCAUCUGUACAGUGCAGUAGCAAAUAAUCAGUCUCCAGCAAAUCAGCCCACUUUCUAGCCAGCAAUUUUGUAGCAUGUGGUUCCUGUGGUGACUUUUGCUGGGAGGCAUGGACAGCAGCCUGUGUCCAAAUAAGAGCAUGAAUUUUUCCAAAGCUUUGUUCUGUUUUCAUGACUCCUUGAGGCCAAACAACUCCGUGAGGCCAACUGUCUUCUCCCACAGUGUAAGUCAGCAUCUGCACUUCUAGUAAUGAAACAGUGUUAAGUGUAGUAAUCCUGGUAGUGUUAGUGCACCAGCUUGGACAAUCAGCUACAGUUCUUUUGCUGAUGGAAACUCCAAAGCCUCUCUGGGCAAAUUGAGA